rnacentral:rRNA from 1 species
UACGUAGGGUGCGAGCGUUGUCCGGAAUUACUGGGCGUAAAGGGCGCGUAGGCGGAUAUUUAAGUUAGAGGUGAAAGCCCAGGGCUCAACCCUGGAAUAGCCUUUAAUACUGGAUAUCUUGAGUUCGGGAGAGGUGAGUGGAACUCCGAGUGUAGAGGUGAAAUUCGUAGAUAUUCGGAAGAACACCAGUGGCGAAGGCGACUCACUGGCCCGAUACUGACGCUGAGGCGCGAAAGCGUGGGGAGCAAACAGG